GAUGAACGCUAGCGGCAGGCUUAACACAUGCAAGUCGAGGGGCAGCGCGGGAUCGCAAUCUCCUGGCGGCGACCGGCGGAAGGGUGCGUAACGCGUGCGCGACAUGCCCGUUGCCCGGGGACAACCGGUGGAAACGCCGACUAAUCCCCGAUGGGAUACGAUGCUUCAUGGCACUGUAUUGCAAGUUACGGCGGCGACGGGUUGGCUCGCGUCCGGUUAGCUGGUUGGCGGGGUAACGGGCCACCAAGGCUGCGAUCGGUGGGGGGACUGGGAGGACGGCCACCCUGAAUGUGACGGAGGCACGGCCCAUACUCCGACGGGAGGCAGCGGGAAUGAAUAAUGAUCAAUGGGCGGAAGCCUGAACCAGCCAGGCCGCGUGCGGGAAGGAGGCGCGAUGGACUGUGAACCGCUUUUGCCUGGGGGCAAUAAGGGCGUCGCGCACGUCCGAUGAGAGUACCAGGCGAAUAAGCAUCGGCUAACUCCGUG
rnacentral:rRNA from 1 species